CCUACGGGAGGCAGCAGUGGGGAAUAUUGCACAAUGGGGGAAACCCUGAUGCAGUGACGCCGCGUGAGUGAAGAAGUAUCUCGGUACGUAAAGCUCUAUCAGCACGGAAGAAAAUGACGUUACCUGACUAAGUAGCCCUGUCUAACUACGAGCCAGCAGCCGCGGUAAUACGUAGGGGGCCAGCGUUAUCCGGAUUUACUGGGUGUACAGGGAGCGUAGACGGCAGCACAAGUCUGCAGUGAAAUCGCGGGGCUUAACCCCGGAACUGCUUUGGAAACUGGCCGGCUGGAGUGCAGGCGGGGUAAGCGGAAUUCGUCGUGUAGCGGUGAAAUGCGUAGAUAUGAGGAGGAACACCGAUUGCGAAGGCGGCUUACUGGACUGGAACUGACGCUGAGGCUCGAAAGCGUGGGGAGCAAACAGGAUUAGAUACCCGUGUAGUC
rnacentral:rRNA from 1 species